UACGUAGGGUGCGAGCGUUGUCCGGAAUUAUUGGGCGUAAAGAGCGUGUAGGCGGCCAGAUAAGUCCGCUGUGAAAUCUCGAGGCUCAACUUCGAGCUGUCGGUGGAAACUGUCUGGCUAGAGUCCGGAAGAGGAGAAUGGAAUUCCUGGUGUAGCGGUGAAAUGCGCAGAUAUCAGGAAGAACACCCGUGGCGAAGGCGGUUCUCUGGGACGGUACUGACGCUGAGACGCGAAAGCGUGGGGAGCAAACAGG
rnacentral:rRNA from 1 species